UACGUAGGGGGCUAGCGUUGUCCGGAAUCAUUGGGCGUAAAGCGCGUGUAGGCGGUUCGGUAAGUCCGCUGUGAAAGUCGGGGGCUCAACCCUCGGAAGCCGGUGGAUACUGUCGGGCUAGAGUACGGAAGAGGCGAGUGGAAUUCCUGGUGUAGCGGUGAAAUGCGCAGAUAUCAGGAGGAACACCAAUUGCGAAGGCAGCUCGCUGGGACGUCACUGACGCUGAGACGCGAAAGCGUGGGGAGCAAACAGG
rnacentral:rRNA from 1 species